AACAUACUUGCUUUUAUGGAAAAAGUAAUUAUAAUUUAAAUUUAGUGUAAUUUACAAGUUCUUAAUAAUUUGUAUUUAGAAAUGAUUGAAAAUAAAGGGUGGAAGUAUUUUCCACCCUUUAAUUAUCGUAUA
rfam:Rickettsia massiliae MTT5, complete genome.